UCUAUCAACCUCGUCCCCAGGGUCUUCUUCGUACAUGGCGCGUGAAAAAUGAGAAGACCCUGGUAAAGGCUCUUCUAAACUCCGUUGUGAUUGGUUUAUACAUUUGACCUUGACAUGUGCUUUGAGGAUGUUGUUACAAUGAAUAUGAUUGGUUUACCGCUAAAUACUUCUUGUAAUGAGCGCUACGAUUGGUUGCAUGAUUUAUAAGGAUUUUCACAACAAUAAUUUGCUUUACAGUAAAAUGCAUGCUUCGCCAAGGCGCGAAGCUUGUUUCUGGCAAAUAUUUUCCAACUUUCAGCCUAAUAUCAGGCACAAUAUAUAAUGGACAUCGUAGUGUGAAUAAAUAUAGACAUCAUUUUGGUACUUCAAAGUUGAGACAGCUAAUGUUCACAUCGUUAUCGAAGGUAUGAAUAUAUACACACACACUGUAUGAUCAAACAAACCACAGAACCAUUUGCGUUUGUGACGUUCUAGUUUCUCUCAAAUACUACCACUUGUUUAAUACGAACACCUCUUGUCUGCUUCAAGUGACAGUUUAAUAUCAGUCUCAGCUGAAUAUGCAUUUUUAUAGCAGAAAUAGACGCACAGAACGAUUGCUGUUUGUAUAGCUUAAUUGUUACAUGUUUAAAUUAUAAUAAUAAAGUAAGCAGUUCUUGCUGGGCUCAUAGGACACCAGGAAAUAUAUAAAAGCGAAUCUAUAAAGAUCCCAUGCAAUAUUAAAAUUUUGGUUAUGUCAAUAAUUUGUGGCACUGCAGCUAGUGAGCUAGCUGCUGGAGCACAGCUACUUGAAUUUUCCACAAGAAUAUAUGCCACUGACCUCCACAAAUGGAACAUUUCAAAUAUAUUCAACAUAACUAUAAAAUUAUUUUCAGUUAAAUCUAGCAUUAGUGUUACACUGUAAAUCAUCCAUAAUUAUCACAGGUGUACAGAGAGUACACUUUUCAACCCCCUCCCACAGCGACUUAACCAAUGAUGGUGGGUCUAUAGUUCAACAUUUAAAAAGCAUAUAGUGGUUAUGAACCUGCCUACCUGAAGCGUAUAGUUUCUACACUUCAGGAAAUGUUGGUAGUUAUGGACAACCCAUAAUUGAAUUUCAUUAGCCUUUACAUCAUUGUGAAUUACCAUUUGCCUGCAUGUAACACUAACAGCAUGAUCUUUAUUCCAUACCGUAUAGGAAAAAUUGAACACAUCUGUCCUGCAGAGCUAGUACAAAUUUACAUUAGCAACUAUUGAAUCAGUGAGGGAGGUAUAAUAAAGCAAGUGUUCAAAUAAAUGCAGCCAAAUCAAAAUUGUUUGUCUCCACACUACACUUCCUCAUCAAUGGACAGCUCAAUGAGAACAAAUGUUGUGGACAACUGUGGUUUGGACAUUGCAGGCUGGCUGCACAUUUUGCAAUGAUGUACAUGCAGGAGAUCGGUUGUUGAAGCAUGAAUGAAAUCAAUUUCCAAAAAGCUCCAAGGCUUACUUUUUGAAAUGACUGAGAAUAGGUCAUUCCAGAAAACAUCCAUACCACCCCCACAGAGGAAAUAGGAAGUUAACCCCCUUUGGAUGUCCUAAUACAUUUACUAUUAUCAGAAACAAUUUUUUCUCCCCUCCCCCUCCGGACGGCAGAAAUUUCCUCCGUGGGGGGAGUAUGGAUCUUUUCUGGAAUGAUCCAAUUCGUUUUCCAUAUGAGUGAGAGUUCCUACAGCCGCAUGUGAGGAUGCAUAUUACCACCUCUUUUCUCUACCCUUGCAUAGUACAGAGAAGGAAAAACAAAGACCAGAUUUUGAACCAAGUAACUUUGUUAUUUAACUUAAAACAGCACUGUAUAUAACUUUAAAUACUGUAAAAAAUGAAAUAUCAGCUAAAUACUAAUUCAGUAAGAAUUGUCUUGGUAUGGAAAUAUCUCUUUCUGUUGUAUAUGCAUUGUUGAAUUGCCAUGUCACUUUCUUGAGUAUUACCAGAAUAUUAAGUAUAGUUGAGCCAGCUUCCUAAUAUUAUGGAAUCUAGGAUAGUUGUUGACUUUGUGGUUUUCUUAAUAAUCUCAUUAAUAUUAUCAACAUUCCUAUAUGUGAAGACCAACUCCCAUCCCCAUUAAGUUGUACAUAUACAGUUGCAGUCUUCUUGACAGUCCUUGUUUUAUCCGUAUUGAUGUUUGAGAAGCAUGAAUAUCUAAAAUAUAAUACAAUUGAUUUGCAUUUCAUUUCACAAACUGGAAACCUAAAUCUAUAUGUUACACUAAAUCUAUCCAAUUAAUUUAUUAACAGUAGAUUUAUUCUAAUUGAGGGAGAAACAUACUUAUGACAUAAGUUACAUUUGAACAAAACUAUCUCUAAACUGGU
rnacentral:lncRNA from 1 species